rfam:Oscillibacter sp. 1-3 genomic scaffold acPPL-supercont1.4, whole genome shotgun sequence.
UAUAAUACUUCUUGCGUUCCAAAGACAGCAGGUGGGCUCUGCCCGUAAGUCCUGCCGAGGAUGGCAGAUCGUGAGAUUGCUGCUCCGUCCGUGCGUCUUUGCGCGGACGGUUCUUUUUUGAACGC